rnacentral:rRNA from 1 species
UCAGUCGACUCCUACGGGGAGGCAGCAGUGGGGAAUAUUGCACAAUGGGGGAAACCCUGAUGCAGCCAUGCCGCGUGUGUGAAGAAGGCCUUCGGGUGUAAAGCACUUUCAGUAGGGAGGAAGGUAGUGUAGUUAACACCUGCACUAUUUGACGUUACCUACAGAAGAAGCACCGGCUAACUCCGUGCCAGCAGCCGCGGUAAUACGGAGGGUGCGAGCGUUAAUCGGAAUUACUGGGCGUAAAGCGCAUGCAGGCGGCCUGUUAAGUCAGAUGUGAAAGCCCGGGGCUUAACCUCGGAAUUGCAUUUGAAACUGGCAGGCUAGAGUCUUGUAGAGGGGGGUAGGAAUUUCAGGUGUAGCGGUGAAAUGCGUAGAGAUCUGAAGGAAUACCAGUGGCGAAGGCGGCCCCCUCGGACAAAGACUGACGCUCAGAUGCGAAAGCGUGGGGAGCAAACAGGAUUAGAUACCCUGGUAG